rnacentral:misc_RNA from 1 species
GUCCGUUAGUUUUUUCCAUAUCUGAAUUAAUCAGUGUUGGCCGCGUACUAGUUGUCAUAUAUAAAUUUUAGUACUUCUUAUGAUGACAAUACAGCAGUUUACUCAAGGAAUGGAGACGCAUGGAUUCACUUAUCUCACACGUGGGAAAGUAUCAACAUCCUACAUUAAUGGACUGGAGGAGGUCGAGAAUAUUGCAGGUUUAAUGCAGUCUACGUAUAAUAGUUACUCAAAAAGGCAGUACGGCAGAUCACUCAAGUCACGCUGAUACAUGAAUUCACAUUUCUCACGCGUGGGAUAGUAUCAACAGCCUACGUUGCAAAUGAACUAGAAGAUGCUGAGAAUAAUACGUGUUAUAUGCAAUAUGGCAGUACGGCAGUUCACUUAAGGAAUUCUGACGCAUGGAUUCACUUAUCUCACACGUGGGAAAGUAUCAACAUCCUAUGUUGCAAAUGGACUAGAAGAUGCUGAGAAUAAUACGUGUUAUAUGCAAUAUGGCAGUACGGCAGUUCACUUAAGGAAUUCUGACGCAUGGAUUCACUUAUCUCACACGUGGGAAAGUAUCAACAUCCUAUGUUGCAAAUGGACUAGAAGAUGCUGAGAAUAAUACGUGUUAUAUGCAAUAAGGCAGUACGGCAGAUCACUCAAGUCACGCUGAUACAUGAAUUCACAUUUCUCACGCGUGGGAUAGUAUCAACAGCCUACGUUGCAAAUGAACUAGAAGAUGCUGAGAAUAAUACGUGUUAUAUGCAAUAUGGCAGUACGGCAGUUCACUUAAGGAAUUCUGACGCAUGGAUUCACUUAUCUCACACGUGGGAAAGUAUCAACAUCCUAUGUUGCAAAUGGACUAGAAGAUGCUGAGAAUAAUACGUGUUAUAUGCAAUAUGGCACUACGGCAGAUCACACAAGGCAUGCUGAGACAUGGAUUCACAUUUC